CAGACGGUUGGACAUCAAGGUUUAUGACCAGUCUAACACAGAGGUCGACUCUGAGGUUUUUGAGGAGAUCGUACAAGAGUUCCAUGGACCUUUCCUAAUUUCAUUGGCCAAUGAAGCACCUGGUUACCCUCAGUCCACGUCAUCUCCAUGCUCUAUUGCAUCUGAAGACACAGUGAUCCUCAACUUCUCGUUGUGUGACCCAGCUGAGGAGCCAGUUGCAGCCGAAGGAAGUCAACCUAAAAGGCCUUGCCGCAUUAACUAUGAAGCAAAAGCUCUGAUUGAAAAAAUCUUGACGACAAAGCCUGGAGGUGACCGUGUCAUGGAGGAGUAUGCGAAAACGAAAUCAAUUACAGAUUCAACCAGAA